rnacentral:rRNA from 1 species
UUUCAACAACGGAUCUCUUGGUUCUGGCAUCGAUGAAGAACGCAGCAAAAUGCGAUAAGUAAUGUGAAUUGCAGAAUUCAGUGAAUCAUCGAAUCUUUGAACGCACAUUGCGCCCGCCAGUAUUCUGGCGGGCAUGCCUGUUCGAGCGUCAUUUCAACCCUCAAGCUC